rnacentral:rRNA from 1 species
UACGAAGGGGGCUAGCGUUGCUCGGAAUCACUGGGCGUAAAGGGUGCGUAGGCGGGUCUUUAAGUCAGGGGUGAAAUCCUGGAGCUCAACUCCAGAACUGCCUUUGAUACUGAGGAUCUUGAGUACGGGAGAGGUGAGUGGAACUGCGAGUGUAGAGGUGAAAUUCGUAGAUAUUGGGAAGAACACCGGUGGCGAAGGCGGCUAUCUGGCCCGUAAUUGACGCUGAGGCGCGAAAGCGUGGGGAGCGAACAGG